rnacentral:SRP_RNA from 1 species
CGGGCAGGCACCUCGCCAACCCGGUCAGAUCCGGAAGGAAGCAGCCGUAACGAGCUCCGCUUGGGUCGUUGUCCAGCCUCU